AGAGAGAGACAUGCGCGCAUAUCAAUAAGCGGAGGAAAAGAAACUAACAAGGAUUCCCUUAGUAACGGCGAGUGAAGCGGGAAGAGCUCAAAUUUGAAAUCUUCAAGGUUCUACCUUGACGAAUUGUAGUUUAUAGAAGUGUUUUCUGUUAGUGGAGUGGCAAAAGUUCUUUGGAAUAGGACAUCAUAGAGGGUGAGAAUCCCUGUAUUUGGUCAUUCCUCCUAGCGUUGUGAUACACUUUCAACGAGUCGGAUUGUUUGGGAAUGCAGUCCAAAAUGGGUGGUAAAUUUCAUCUAAAGCUAAAUAUUGGCGAGAGACCGAUAGCGAACAAGUACCGUGAGGGAAAGAUGAAAAGAACUUUGAAAAGGGAGUUAAACAGUACGUGAAAUUGUCAAAAGGGAAGCGUUUGACACCAGUGUUGUUUUUCCGAAAAUCAAUUACGAAUGUUUUGUUUUUAAGAAGUUAUGACUUCAUCGGCUUGCUUCUUUCUUUACUGAAACUUUCUUAAUGCACUUUUCGGUUGACAAGUCAACAUCAAUUUCUUUUGUUGUAAAAGGGUAUGAGGAAGGUGGCUUUCUUUUCGGAGAAAGUGUUUAUAGCCUUGUGUCUCUGCAAUCGGAGAGAUUGAGGUCUGCAGCGUAGAUCCUUCGGGGUUAGAUACAGUUUGUGCUAAGUUAUAGCUUUUCAUAGACAACUUGUUGACUAUGAUUAGUCAUUGUAGCUUACUCGCUUAUGCUAUUUUAUCUACGCUUAGGAUGUUGAUAGUCACAGCGUGUAC
rnacentral:rRNA from 1 species